rnacentral:tRNA from 1 species
GGUGGUAUAGCUCAAGUGGUAGAGCGCAUGCUUAGCACGCACGAGGUCCUGGGUUCAAUCCCUGGUACCUCCU